GGGCCCGUAGCUUAGGUUGGUUUAGAGCGCGCGACUCAUAAUCGCGAGGUCAAGGGUUCAAAUCCCUUCGGGCCCA
rnacentral:tRNA from 1 species